UACGUAGGUGGCAAGCGUUGUCCGGAUUUACUGGGUGUAAAGGGCGUGUAGGCGGAGCAGCAAGUCAGAAGUGAAAUCUCCGGGCUUAACCCGGAAACUGCUUUUGAAACUGUUGCCCUUGAGUAUCGGAGAGGCAGGCGGAAUUCCUAGUGUAGCGGUGAAAUGCGUAGAUAUUAGGAGGAACACCAGUGGCGAAGGCGGCCUGCUGGACGACAACUGACGCUGAGGCGCGAAAGCGUGGGGAGCAAAC
rnacentral:rRNA from 1 species